UACAGAGGUCUCAAGCGUUGUUCGGAUUCAUUGGGCGUAAAGGGCUCGUAGGCGGUUUGUCGCGUCGGGAGUGAAAACCUACAGCUUAACUGUGGGCUUGCUUUCGAUACGGGCAGACUAGAGGUAUGCAGGGGAGAACGGAAUUCCUGGUGUAGCGGUGAAAUGCGCAGAUAUCAGGAGGAACACCGGUGGCGAAGGCGGUUCUCUGGGCAUGAUCUGACGCUGAGGAGCGAAAGUGUGGGGAGCGAACAGG
rnacentral:rRNA from 1 species